UGAACUAAACUACUAUAUGCCACAGGCAGAAAGUAGGAGGGACCGAGGUGUACCAGUAUCCAAGGCCUGUGCAAUGGCAGGGAAAUGAUUACGUGAGAU